UACAGAGGCCCCAAGCGUUACUGAGAAUCACUGGGUUUAAAGGGUGCGUAGGUGGCGCGUUAAGUCCGUUGUGAAAGCCCUGGGCUCAACCCAGGAACUGCACUUGAUACUGCGGUGCUCGAGUACUGGAGAGGAGAUUGGAAUUUACGGUGUAGCAGUGAAAUGCGUAGAUAUCGUAAGGAAGACCAGUGGCGAAGGCGAAUCUCUGGACAGUUACUGACACUGAGGCACGAAGGCCAGGGGAGCAAACGGG
rnacentral:rRNA from 1 species